GCUGGCGCUGGGGCAUCCAGCUGGCAGAGCUGUUUCCAUUUCUCUCACACGCCCCCGGAUGGGAAAUGAUUCAUGAAAACCAAGAAGGUAAAAUUAGCCCAAAGGCUGCCGAGUAAUUUAUGCAGCCAACAGGGCCAGGAGGGAGGGAAGGCCCACGCUGCCAGCUCAGUGUGGCCUCCCAGGGGCUGGCAGAGGCCAGCCUGGCCAUCAGGAGCCUCUGUCUCUGGGGUCUUCUAUUUCUGGACUCAGCCUCCAGGGCCGUUGGCAGGCCUUCCGGAACCAUCGCUGACCCCCGCCCCACCACACUCCACAGACCCCCAUGGCCGCCGCUGGGGACCUGCUAAGUGCCGGGGGCCUGCUGGGGAGAAGCUCAAGCAUUUCAUCCUGUCAACCCCAAGCCUUCCCAGGUGAGGAAUGAAUGUGCUGAGAGCUCAGAAGCUCUGUGACGCAGAUGCAAUUGUCACCUCUAUUUUACAGAGGCUGGAACUGAGGCACAGAGAGGUGAAGGAGAUUUCCCAGAACCACCAAGAUUUGAAGGCCACCACGAGCCCACUUGCCACAACAGCCACCCAAGAGACGGGUCACUCAAAAACGCGUCCUUUGAGUAAGGGUAGAAAAACCCAAGUGUGAAGGAGAAAAGUGUCCAGGGCCCGUGGCUACCAUCAGCAGCUCUCUGGGGACUUGGCAGGGGACAGGAGAGCAGCCCUUUCCCCCGGCUCUAAAGAAGAGACACGGGAAUAGUUUGGGAACUACAGGGUGACAUUUGGUUCUGUGCAAAGUCUCAGUGGACGGACUUUAAAUAUUGUGCAAUAAGCAUUUAAAAAAUGCAACAGGCGGGGGGCGCCUGAGUGGCUCGGUUGGUCGAGUGUCCGACUUCGGCUCAGGUCAUGAUCUCGCGUCCGUGAGUUCGAGCCCCGCGCCGGGCUCUGUGCUGACGGCUCAGAGCCUGGAGCCUGUUUCCGAUUCUGUGUCUCCCUCUCUCUGCCCCUCCCCUGUUCAUGCUCUGUCUCUCCCUGUCUCAAAAAUAAAUAAAACGUUAAAAAAAAUUUUUUUUUAAAUGCAACAGGCUCCCGUGCCCAGCAGUAUAGCUACUCUAGGUAAGCCCAGGAAGGCAGAAGAAUAAAAUCAGAAUUAACCUAAAUGCCUUUCAUUAAGAGAAUGUAGGAAGAGAGAAGGAAGAGAGGAAGGAAGGAAGGAAGGAAGGAAGGAAGGAAGGCAGGUAGGAAGGAAGG